GGCCUGGUGGCUCAGUUGGAAAGAGCGGUGCGAAAUAAUAGGUAUAAUGAAAUUGCUUCAUGCACAGGUGCACGUUUGAAUCCCGCCCAGGCUG